GCCCAAUCCUCGCUCAUAAAAACAAAAACCGUAAAACAAAAAUGUUUUUCUGUCAAACCGUAGGGUUAUCAGGAACUGAUAUAUGCACGUAGGCUAUGAGUCUUGAAUGAAGUCUUCAGAUUAACGAUCAAUAGAGCAAUUUUGUGUUAAUAGAUUUGCUUCGUUUAUCAUUAAUUUU